GUAGAGUGGCGGACUGGUGAGUAACNCGUGGGUGACGUACCCUUUAGCUGGGGAUAGCCGGUAGAAAUACCGGGUAAUACCGAAUAAUCUUGCUUCUUUGAAGUGAAGUAAGGAAAGGAGCUUCGGCUUCACUGAAGGAACGGCCCGCGCACUAUUAGCUAGUUGGUGAGGUACGGCUCACCAAGGCAACGAUAGUUAUCCGGCCUAAGAGGGUGAACGGACACAUUGGGACUGAGAUACGGCCCAGACUCCUACGGGAGGCAGCAGCUAAGAAUAUUCCGCAAUGGAGGAAACUCUGACGGAGCGACGCCGCGUGGAUGAUGAAGGUCGGAAGAUUGUAAAAUCCUUUUAAGUAUGAUGAAUAACCUGAUCAGGAAAUGGGACAGGGAUGACCGUAAUACUUGAAUAAGCAACGGCUAAUUACGUG
rnacentral:rRNA from 1 species